GCCGAUAUGGUGUAAUGGUAUCACAAGAGAUUGCUAAUCUCUCUAACGAACAAAAUCGUUAUGCAGGUUCGAUUCCUGUCUAUCCGAUUAUCA
rnacentral:tRNA from 1 species